UGAGUUUCCACCGGUGCACACAGGUUGUAGAUUUGAGGGUUUUGUUUCUUUGUUUUUUGAUUUAUUUGUUUAUUUUUGAGUUUUUGGCUAUUUCCUUGAAGAUUAUAGAUCUGAUUCCUUAGGGGAUAUAGCAAAAUGAUCAUGGAUGGAAUUUCAGCACUGUCCACCGUUCCGUUUCCCCUGAGUCAUCACCACAAAGAAAGCUUUCUCUGGACUCUCUCUUCUCUUCCCUGUGAGCCUGUGAGCUCUUAGAGAAUUUCUUGAAGGAAAAACAUGAAAGGGAGGCGUUGACUUUCUUUCUGUAACCUGCAGUAUCUUCACACUCUCAUGCUAGCCCACACUUGACUUUAAGGAAUUCUUAAAAUUCCAAGCUGCAGCUUCUUACUAGUUUCUAUGGUGUUCUGUGGCCUCUACGACAGAACACACUAUUUGAUGGACUUCGAGAACUCCAGUGUCU
rnacentral:lncRNA from 10 species